GAUGAACGCUAGCGGCAGGCCUAACACAUGCAAGUCGAGGGGUAGCAGGAUUAAGCUUGCUUAAUUGCUGACGACCGGCGCACGGGUGCGUAACGCGUAUGCAACCUGCCUUAUACUGGGGUAUAGCCCGGAGAAAUUCGGAUUAAUCCCCCAUAGUACUAAUGAAUCGCAUGGUUUAUUAGUUAAAGCAUUGCGGUAUAAGAUGGGCAUGCGUCCUAUUAGCUAGGUGGUGAGGUAACGGCUCACCAUGGCUACGAUAGGUAGGGGGCCGGAGAGGGUGGUCACCCACACUGGUACUGAGACACGGACCAGACGCCUGCGGGAGGCAGCAGUGAGGAAUAUUGGGCAAUGGGCGCAAGCCUGAACCAGCCAUGCCGCGUGCAGGAAGAAUGCCCUAUGGGUUGUAAACUGCUUUUAUUUGGGAAUAAACCUCUUUACGUGUAGAGAGCUGAAGGUACCAAAUGAAUAAGCACCGGCUAACUCCGUGCCAGCAGCCGCCGUAA
rnacentral:rRNA from 1 species